CUGUGGAGUGUGCUACUCAGGCCUUAGAGAAAUACAACAUCGAGAAGGACAUUGCUGCUCACAUAAAGAAGGAGUUUGACAAGAAAUACAAUCCCACUUGGCACUGCAUCGUGGGAAGGAACUUUGGCAGCUACGUGACUCAUGAGACCAAGCACUUCAUCUACUUCUACCUCGGCCAAGUCGCUAUUCUUCUUUUCAAGUCUGGUUAGAACCACAGACUGUUACGGAAACUUGCACCUGGUUACAGGACUGUGUGCUGACUCCUCUGACUAGUUACUGCAGCCUUCCUGAGGACGCAGACCUUGAUCUUCAAGGGCAAUGGCAGGGAUUAUGCUAUAGCAGAUGAUGUUACAUUGUGGAUAUAAAAAGGAAAAAUACCAAAAAA